AGAGCCGUGUCCUGCUGGGACUCCAGCUUCACCUUCAGCAGCUUCUCCAUGAGCUGGGUGCGACAGGCGCCUGGGAAGGGGCUCGAAUACGUCGCACAAAUUAGCAACGAUGGUAGUAGGACCUACUACGCGCCGUCGGUGAAGGGUCGCUUCACCAUCUCCAGGGACAACUCCCAGAGCACGGUCACGCUGCAGAUGAACAGCCUCAAGGAGGACGACACGGCCACCUACUACUGCGCCAAAGCUGCUGGUGAUGGUUAUUGUGGUGCUUAUGCUGCUGGUGGCCCCGACCACAUCACCGUGUCCCCACAUCCCACCAUCUCCCCCAAUCCCUUCCCACACUGA